rnacentral:tRNA from 1 species
UAGGUUGAAGUUUAUUAGUAUCGCUUAGCUGUUAACUAAGAAGGUGUAGGAUAAAAGCCUACCAAUCUAG